rnacentral:rRNA from 1 species
AUCAACUUUCGAUUGGUAGGAUAGAGGCCUACCAUGGUUUUAACGGGUAACGGGGAAUUAGGGUUCGAUUCCGGAGAGGGAGCCUGAGAAACGGCUACCACAUCCAAGGAAGGCAGCAGGCGCGCAAAUUACCCAAUCCCGACACGGGGAGGUAGUGACAAUAAAUAACAAUACGGGGCUCAUUUGGGUCUCGUAAUUGGAAUGAGUACAAUUUAAAUCCCUUAACGAGGAACAAUUGGAGGGCAAGUCUGGUGCCAGCAGCCGCGGUAAUUCCAGCUCCAAUAGCGUAUAUUAAAGUUGUUGCAGUUAAAAAGCUCGUAGUUGAACUUCGGGGUUUACCCAUUGGUCAGGCUUAAUUGUCUGCACUGGUGAGAUAAAUCUCUACCUUCUGAGGAACUUUCAUGCCAUUUAUUUGGUGUGAUGGGAAAUCAGGACUGUUACUUUGAAAAAAUUAGAGUGUUUAAAGCAGGCUAACGUCUGAAUACAUUAGCAUGGAAUAAUGAAAUAGGACGGACUGAUUCUAUUUCGUUGGUUUCUAGGAUCACCGUAGUGAUUAAUAGGGAUAGUUGGGGGCAUUAGUAUUCAAUUGUCAGAGGUGAAAUUCUUGGAUUUAUUGAAGACUAACUACUGCGAAAGCAUUUGCCAAGGAUGUUUUCAUUAAUCAAGAACGAAAGUUAGGGGAUCGAAGACGAUCAGAUACCGUCGUAGUCUUAACCAUAAACUAUGCCGACUAGGGAUCGGACGAAGUUAAUUUUAUAAUGACGCGUUCGGCACCUUACGGGAAACCAAAGUGUUUGGGUUC